CAGUCGCCACGGGAAUACGAAGGGGGCUAGCGUUGCUCGGAUUUACUGGGCGUAAAGGGUGCGUAGGCGGACUGAUAAGUCAGGGGUGAAAUCCCAAGGCUCAACCUUGGAACUGCCUUUGAUACUGUUAGUCUUGAGCUCGAGAGAGGUGAGUGGAACUGCGAGUGUAGAGGUGAAAUUCGUAGAUAUUCGCAAGAGCACCAGUGGCGAAGGCGGCUCACUGGCUCGAAACUGACGCUGAGGCACGAAAGCGUGGGGAGCAAACAGGAUUAGAUACCCCAGUAGUCCCUGUCUCUUAUAC
rnacentral:rRNA from 1 species